rnacentral:rRNA from 1 species
GGGUUGUGAGGUUAAGCGACUAAGCGUACACGGUGGAUGCCCUGGCAGUCAGAGGCGAUGAAGGACGUGCUAAUCUGCGAUAAGCGUCGGUAAGGUGAUAUGAACCGUUAUAACCGGCGAUUUCCGAAUGGGGAAACCCAGUGUGAUUCGUCACACUAUCAUUAACUGAAUCCAUAGGUUAAUGAGGCGAACCGGGGGAACUGAAACAUCUAAGUACCCCGAGGAAAAGAAAUCAACCGAGAUUCCCCCAGUAGCGGCGAGCGAACGGGGAGCAGCCCAGAGCCUGAAUCAGUGUGUGUGUUAGUGGAAGCGUCUGGAAAGGCGCGCGAUACAGGGUGACAGCCCCGUACACAAAAAUGCACAUACUGUGAGCUCGAUGAGUAGGGCGGGACACGUGGUAUCCUGUCUGAAUAUGGGGGGACCAUCCUCCAAGGCUAAAUACUCCUGACUGACCGAUAGUGAACCAGUACCGUGAGGGAAAGGCGAAAAGAACCCCGGCGAGGGGAGUGAAAAAGAACCUGAAACCGUGUACGUACAAGCAGUGGGAGCACGCUUAGGCGUGUGACUGCGUACCUUUUGUAUAAUGGGUCAGCGACUUAUAUUCUGUAGCAAGGUUAACCGAAUAGGGGAGCCGAAGGGAAACCGAGUCUUAACUGGGCGUUAAGUUGCAGGGUAUAGACCCGAAACCCGGUGAUCUAGCAUGGGCAGGUUGAAGGUUGGGUAACACUAACUGGAGGACCGAACCGACUAAUGUUGAAAAUUAG